rfam:Salmo salar isolate Sally breed double haploid chromosome ssa28, whole genome shotgun sequence.
AUAAAAGCAUCAUUUGGAAUAAGCCAUUUUCAAGUGAAAUAUUUUGAUGAGGACAACGAGGAG